GGACUACUCGGGUAUCUAAUCCCGUUUGCUCCCCUGGCUUUCGCGCCUCAGCGUCAGAAGGUGUCCAGCACGUCGCUUUCGCCACCGGCGUUCCUUCCGAUAUCUACGCAUUUCACCGCUCCACCGGAAGUUCCACAUGCCCCUACACCACUCGAGACCACCAGUAUCAGAAGCACUUCUCCGGUUGAGCCGAAGUAUUUCACCCCUGACUUGAUGGUCCGCCUACGCGCCCUUUAAGCCCAGUGAUUCCGAACAACGUUCGCACGGUUCGUCUUACCGCGGCUGCUGGCAC
rnacentral:rRNA from 1 species